AAAUGAAUCUGUCACACUCUGUCAAAGACGUGUUUAUAUGUGGAAAUGAGGCAUGAAUAAAUGGUAUGGUUCACCAAACUACGUGGCAUAUUACGAAGGACUGGAACUUAGUCACAACUACUUUGGCCAGGGAUGAGCAUUGGUGUACUUGAAUGGACGAAAUAGUACUUCUUAAAGAACAUUUAACAGAAGGGUAAAUUGGCCGUAACAACGCACCACCCUAACAAAGGAACAUCGUCCUCAAAACAUCUCACACACAGAUGUCAUUUAUCGACGCAUAAUUCAGCGAAAUGGACUACAAAAUACUGUGGAGUUCACUACCCAAAGCGGUCAUGUUUUCAUCAUCCCACCAGAACACAAGUCCAGAUUUGGAAUGGAAUUUCUAAAAAAUUGGAAAAAUUUUGAACUACCUAGUAAAACGGUUUUGCACGUUGAAAUAAUUUGAUAACCUAGAAUUUGUUCACGCUCGAUACCUAAAUGAGCUGAUUUGAAAUUGUAUAAUUACUAGGGCUAAGCUUGUGAACUCACACAGACUGUAGGGAAAAUAAA